UACGAAGGGGGCUAGCGUUGUUCGGAAUUACUGGGCGUAAAGCGCACGUAGGCGGAUAUUUAAGUCAGGGGUGAAAUCCCGGGGCUCAACCCCGGAACUGCCUUUGAUACUGAGGAUCUUGAGUUCGGGAGAGGUGAGUGGAACUGCGAGUGUAGAGGUGAAAUUCGUAGAUAUUCGCAAGAACACCAGUGGCGAAGGCGGCUCACUGGCCCGAUACUGACGCUGAGGCACGAAAGCGUGGGGAGCAAACAGGG
rnacentral:rRNA from 1 species